rnacentral:rRNA from 1 species
GACGAACGCUGGCGGCGUGCCUAAUACAUGCAAGUAGAACGCACAGUUUAUACCGUAGCUUGCUACACCAUAGACUGUGAGUUGCGAACGGGUGAGUAACGCGUAGGUAACCUGCCUGGUAGCGGGGGAUAACUAUUGGAAACGAUAGCUAAUACCGCAUAAUAUUAAUUAUUGCAUGAUAAUUGAUUGAAAGGUGCAAUUGCACCACUACCAGAUGGACCUGCGUUGUAUUAGCUAGUAGGUGAGGUAACGGCUCACCUAGGCGACGAUACAUAGCCGACCUGAGAGGGUGAUCGGCCACACUGGGACUGAGACACGGCCCAGACUCCUACGGGAGGCAGCAGUAGGGAAUCUUCGGCAAUGGACGAAAGUCUGACCGAGCAACGCCGCGUGAGUGAAGAAGGUUUUCGGAUCGUAAAGCUCUGUUGUAAGAGAAGAACGGGUGUGAGAGUGGAAAGUUCACACUGGGACGUAUCUACCA